GUGCUUUCAGGACUCCAGCCCUGCCCAGCCCUCAAGCCUCCUUUCUCCCUCCCCCACCUGAUCCCUAUGACCUGAUCCCUCCCAUAGCUCACCUUCCCCCUUCUGGGCCCGGGAGCUCCCGCAUCUUUACAAAUCAGCAGCACCUGACUUGACAGUGACUCCGGUUCCUCUGCGUUUCCUGCCAGACCCCCAGCUCCAGGAGGCAGGGGCAGGCUUUGCUUCGCUCCCAGAGUCCCCAGCUCCUAGCACAGCCUCCAGCUAAGAGCAUGAGAUUGAAGAAAUGCAUUGAGGAGCACAUGGAUGCUUGUAAUGAGAAAAUACUGGGGAGUUAUUACAGUGGUCAAGGUGAAAAUCAAGUCUUUUCAAAAUGUAAAUCCCCACGAAGUUUGCCAGAAUCUAGUCGACACCCCCGUGUGCUUUCAUCCACUGCCGAUUCUUUGCCAUUUCGAACCUCAUGGUAAGUAACCAUUAAUACUGUUUUCCUUUCUGCUGCCCUUCAUGAUGUUAAAGGAAAAAUGCCAUUUCAGAUGUUUCUAGACAAAUCACAC
rnacentral:lncRNA from 1 species